UGGAUAUAGAGAACUAGUCUUUGUAUACGUUGUUGCAUUGUCUACCUGUGUGUGCCUGAGAGUGUGUGUCUGGCAGUGAGUAUCUUUGUAUAUGUAUGCAUGUUUCUCUGAGCAUGUGUAUGUUUGUGUUACUGCCUGUGGCCUUUGGCAUUAAGUUCAUGGCGAAGCUAUGUUUUAUGACUGUGUGUAGAAUGAUUGCCUUCAGGGGGUGACAGGGUGAGUAAAGGAGUAACUGUGGCAGGGUGAUUGUAAAAAGAGCAGGAGGGUGCCAGAGUGCGGAGAGUGGUGCCCGUGUGUUUAGAGGGAGAGAUAGUGUGUAUGGAG